AAGGAAAAUGUUAUUUUAGUAAUUUCAUUAUUUAUCUUUCCCUAUUUCACUUUUUUAAUAAUUUUAUUAAUUAUAUUAUCUUAAAAAAUACAUCACAUCAUUAAUUAUAUUACCAUAACAAAUAGUGCAAAAUAUUAUUUAUUAGUUAAUCAACAUUAACUUUGUGCCAAUUAUAAAAUUAAAUAUGUAAAAUAACUUGAUUUUACAUAUGGUUAAACGUUCGAUUUAGUUUUUUUUCUAAUUUUUUUUUAAUUUCAAUUGGUGAAAAUUAUGUAUCCAAAAAUAUAAUUCAAAGACAUAUUUUGUGAAUAAAAUAAUAACUUAAAUCAAAACAAUAAGAAUGUAUUACAUUUAUUGUCAUUAAAUUUUUACUCCAUACAAUUAUUUUAUUAAAUAAAAAACACUUUCUUUCACUUAAUUUAGCCAAACUCAUAGAAAAAAAAAUACUUUUUAUUAGUUUAUAAAAUUAGUUAGGCAUGAAAAUUAACUAUCCAUUUAGGUACAUGUUGUUUUUUUGGGUAUCAUUUUUUUUUGAAAUUAUACCCCUCUUGAAUAUUAUAAAUUUAUGUGUAGAUUUUGAGUUGGCUCAUUCUCGGUUUGGAUGAGUUUUGUUCUGAUGUAUAGGAACCUAUAAAAUAUAUAAAUAAAUAAUGUAUAUGAAACGAGUUUGGGUAUUUGUACCAAAAAUAACCAUAUUACUCGAUUCAGUCCACGUCUUUUAAAUACAAUUAGUUAUAUUACGACUCAUAUAAAAUAUAUGAGAUUAAUUAUUAAAAAAUUUAUGUAUAAAAAUGUAUGAACCAAUAUCUGUGCAUCAAUCUCUAGUUCUUAUUAUUUUGUUUCAUUUUUUAAAAAUAUAACUAAAUAAUAAACCUAGAUGUCCGAUAAAAACUCAUCAAUUUCAUCAUUAGUAGUUUUGGCGAUGAAGUUUCUAUCUUUCUGCUGAUCUUUAGUAAAUAUUUGCCUUGUUUAGAUUUUACGAAAGAUAUUUUUAUUUGAUAAUCUAAUAAUCGAAAACGUCUAAUUUCUAGGUAGAGUGGUUAGCAAAGAUAUUAUUUUAUAUUAUCAAACAAUUAACCCUAUAUUUAUAUAAACUGAAAGAAAGAAAUAGGGUUUUAUUUGGUUGAGAUAGAAGAAGGGAGGCAGCUCUCUUUCUCAAGAUGGAGCAUUCACGUUAUUCAUUUAAAAUCAGACAAUUGCGUUCACAUUUGUAUCUAACUUGUCAUCCUCCUCGUCCAAGAAUCCAUUCACCUUUUACGCCAUACUUGAACAAGAGGUAGCUUUAAUUAGGGUUUCCAUUGUGAACUAAGAACGAGUCAAAGUUGAUUCAUUUAUCUUGUUGGUUUUGAUCAUUUUCUUUCCAUUCUUAAUAGAACGCUUACUCCUCUCCCAAGCUUGCCUUCAGAUCUAUCCCCCAAGCAGGAUUUAGGUGAAUUUAUGAAAGAACUCUCACAACUCGAAUCAGUUUCAGAAAAAGUAUCAAAAUUAGUAGAGCGUCUUAAGGAACUACAUGAGUGUAAGAUCAGAAUAGCUGCAGGUAUUUUGUACCUCUAUUUGAACAAAUAUUUCUAUUUCCUUCUCGACAAUUUCUUGAGUUUUUUUUUUUUGCUUUCUUUUUCUCUUUGUUUAUAUUAAUUCUUGCAGUCCGUGUUCGUCUUGACAAGAGGCACAGGAUCCUUAACGAGGAGAAACUGAGAAUUGCCGAGAUGAAAAGGCUUAUCGCUGAGGAAAAAAAGAUUAUCGCUGAAAAAAAAAAGGAAAUAGCAGAGAAGAGAAGGAAAUUAAAUCAACGAGAGUCUCACAGAGAUGCGUAGGUAGCAUUAGAUCAAGUCAUCAAAGAGAUGCAAAAGCUCAACGCAAAAACGAGAACCGAGGAUCACUAUAGUCUAUAGGUUUAGAUAUAGUUGCUCACAAUAACGUUCCACUAAAUUCUUACUUAUUGUUUUUUUAUUCUUUCACUUAAACAAACUAUUGUCAUGUAUAAGAAACUUGAAGAAGGUUUUAUGAAAAUCACGUUUGUCAAAACUUGAACAUCACGAUUUUAAUGUACAUUAGCUCGGAUAUAUGUUUGAUGUAAUUAUAUGUUUUAUUUAUUGUAAAAACGUUCAUGUUAUUGUUUCAUAUGUUAUUAGUUCUGACAUUGGUGUAUCUUAUUUUUGUUGUAAUUUUUUUCUUUUACUUUGUAAACUAAACAUAAAGUGUAUAAUAUUAGAACAUUUAUUUGAGAUUUAAUAGUUUUAUUAAAUAAGAAAAUCUGAAAUUUGUGAUUUAUAGCUUAUUUUAAAUUUUUGUUUAUAUAGUUUUACAGAAAAAAACGCUAGCAAAUAUACAACCAAUUGGAAAAGUAACCCCAAAAACAUAUAUAUAUAUAGCCUAAUUAGAUGAAUUGAUUUGUGCCAUUUUGUUAUGAUUUUAAAAUAUUUAUCAUUUGUGACCGAAUAAAUAGUGGAUAUGAAUCACAUAACUCAGCUGUGUCUUAACUACAACUCAUCCAAAUUUUACAGAAAUCAAACCGUCGAUGUAUAAGUCAGCAUUAACUUGUGUACGUAAGUCAGUCGUUAUCCCAUAAAUCAACCAGAUUUCUGUAAAUCAGCCGUAACUAACGGCUGAUUUAUGUUCUUAAGUCAGCCGUUUUCUCUUAUGUCAGCCGCAACGUAGCAAUAAUUAACUCAGCUGUAACGACGUAUAUAGCUCUUUAUGGUCGACUUAAUGAAAACACAUAACCGAAUUCUUACGUGGGGCCGGUUUUUGAUUACCUGACAUUAAAAUGUAAUUGCAUUCUUGUAAAUUCGUUUUUUUUUUCAUAACAUAAAAAAAGAGCACACUUGGUAUUUAAAAAAAUACCGGUAAUAAAAAAAAAAGAUAUGUAUGAUUCUAGUCAAUUGUUCUAAAAUAUUGUAUAUUUGAGGAAACUUCCCUAUGAUAUAAUACAAUGGUGAACGAGAGAAAAACAAAUAUAUAUACUUUCUAUUUGAAAAUUGAAUGGAUCAAAAUUUGAGAUUUGACUGUAUUGUAUUGAAUAACUAAUAUAUAAAACAAGCAUUCCAAAAAAAUACUAAUAUAUAAAACAAGUGCAAUUUAUAAUAUAUGAAAUCAUCAAAAUAUGCCAAGGUACUAAAUAGAUGGUUUAGUCUAUAAAUUAUAUAAUCUUUGCUAGUGUAAGUAAAAGUUAAGGGGAUGCAACUUAGGAAUAAAAGCAAAAUAAUUCCAACCAUGUUAGAGAGAACUACAGUAUUGCAAACAUGUAUUUUCAAAGUAAAUUAAUCGACUCUUUGUAUAUGUUAAUACCUACGUCAAUUCCAGUGGACAUUCAGUUUUUUGCUAUCACAAAAUUUCCAUCAAUUUCAUCAUUAGUAGUUUUGGCGAUAAAUUCUAGUUUCUAGAUUUUUCUUUGGAUCGUGUAGACUUUAGAACAUCUCCAAAAGAUAUUUUAUAACUUCAAAUAUGAAGUAUUUGUUCUCCAGAAAAAAACUUCACGAGGAGUGGAACUCUAUAUUUGAAGUUUCACUACUCAAAACUUCAAAUUUGAAGUUUCAUAUUUUAUUUGCAUUUUGAUUCCUAUAAUCACACAUCACUUUUAUGAUUCAUAAAUAUUUUUUCGUUUAUUGUUUUAAUCCUUAAAAAAUUAUAUCUUAUAAAUAUUUUAAAAAUUUUGUUUAUAGAUUUAAAAUUUUACACAUAAAAUUAAAUAAAACUUUAAAAUAAGAUUAAAAAUUUUUAAACUAGAUUUAGACAACAAUAAUAUACAAAAGAAACAUAACAAAAAUUUUUUUAAAAAAUUACAUCGAAACAUAACUAUUACACAAAUUUAAAUAUUACAACAACACUAAUAGUCAGGUAAGUUUGAUCAGGAACCUUCAAAUUUUCAAAUAUUGUCUAAAUAUUUUUGUGUAACUAAAUAUGGUUGUAGUUGUUGUUUUUGAUGUUUUUUUUGUAAAAUUCUUUCUUGUUCAUAUCGAAAUAUAUUCACGAGUAUUAAUAUCAUCGAAAAUAAAUUAGUCUUUUAGCAAUAUUUUAUGUUUCUCUUUUAAUUUCUUGUUCCGAUCUAAUGUAUUUACAACUAUCAAUAUCACCUGAUUUUAAUAACUUUACCUCGUAAUCUACAAAGUAAAAAUGAGGAGAGCUAUUUUUUACUUUGAAAUGCAUUAAUAGAUCAUAUGUGCUUUACAAAAAUUAUUUAAUGGAAUAAUAGGAUAUUUUAUUUGAAGUUUAAUAUUAAUUAAGUUAUUUUUAGUAAAAAAUAUAUUUCAAUAGAAUAUUUUAUUAAUUAAUAUUGUUGUAAUAUGUUUAUAUAUGUGCUACUUAUUUAUAUAAAAAUUAUGAAUUCAAGCUAGUGAUAACAAAUAUAAAGACCAUAUUAUAAAAUUCAAAUAGUUUUGAAGUUGAAUUUGAAGUUUUGGUUUUGGAGAAGAACAUCCUUAAAUUUCAAAUAUAGAGUUUUGGAAACUUUAAAAUAGUUUCUUUUUGGAAAUGCUCUUAAAUCAUUCUUGGAAGAAUAUUUAAUUUGUUUAGAUUUUACCACAAUGAUAUUUUCAUUUGAUAAUCUAAUGAUCGAAAACGGUAUCGCCUAUAAAUCUAUAAUAAUCUAAAAAUACGGAUAAUUUCUAGGUAGAGUAGUUAGUAAAGAUGUUAUUUAAUAUUAUCAAACAAUUAACCCUAUCUUUAUAUGAACUGAAAGAAAGAAAUAGGAUUUUAUUUGGUUGAGAUAGAAGAAGGGAGGCAGGUCUCUCUCAAGAUGGUGCAUUCGAAAUCAAACAAUUGCGUUCACAUUUAUACCUAACUUGUCAUUCUCCUCGUCCAAGUAUUCACUCACCUUUGAACGAGAGGUAGCUUUAAUUAGGGUUUCCAUUGUGAACUAAGAACGAGUCCAAGUUGAUUCAUUUAUCUUGUUGGUUUUGAUCAUUUUCUUUCCAUUCUUGCAAGCUUGCCGUCACAUCUAACCCCCAAGCAGGAUUUAGGUGAAUUUAUGCAAGAACUCUCACAACUCGAAUCAGUUUCAGAAAAAAUAUCAAAAUUACUUGACCGUAUUAAGGAAUUCCAUGAGUGUAAGAUCAGAAGAGCUGCAGGUAUUUUGUAUCUCUAUUUGAAAAAGUAUCUUUAUUUGAUUCUCGUUAAUUUCUUGAGUUUUUUUUUUUUUUUUGCUUUCUUUUUCUCUUUGUUUAUAUUAAUUCUUGCAGUCCGUGUUCGUCUCGACAAGAGGCAAAGGAUCCUUAACGAGGAGAAACUGAGAAUUGCCGAGAUGAAAAGGCUUAUCGCUGAGGAAAAAAAGAUUAUCGCUGAAAAAAAAAAGGAAAUAGCAGAGAAGAGAAGGAAAUUAAAUCAACGAGAGUCUCACAGAGAUGCGUAGGUAGCAUUAGAUCAAGUCAUCAAAGAGAUGCAAAAGUAAGUUGAACAAUACUGAUUUACAUCAAAGGAUUGACUAAGAAUUAUUAUAAUAGUGAUUGUUUCUUAAAUAUUCUAUUAAUAUAUAGAUUAAUUAAUGAUUACUUUGUUCAAUAUUGUUUAAUGCAGGCUCAACGCAAAAACGAGAACCGAGGAUCACUAUAGUCUAUAGGUUUAGAUAUAGUUGCUCACAAUAACGUUCCACUAAAUUCUUACUUAUUGUCUUUUUAUUCUUUCACUUAAACAAACUAUUGUCAUGUACAAGAAACUUGAAGAAGGUUUUAUGAAAAUCACGUUUGUCAAAACUCGAACAUCACGAUUUUAAUGUACUUAUUGCACUGAUUUAAGAAACGGGUUAGCAUAUUAGUUAUAAAUAAUUGGCUGGUUUACAAUGGCAUAGAUAAGUUGGUUUACUCACAAAUGUAUAUAUAUAUAUAUAUAUAUAUAUAUAUAUAUAUAUAUAUAUAUAUAUAUAUAUACACGACGUGUACUCAUCAUCUUCACCAAUGAACAACAGACCUUCACAUUUCUUAAUUAUCCAAUUUCUGUCACUUAUAUUUACAUAAUUAGAUUGGCGAUAUUAUUAUUAUUAUUAUUAUUAUUAUUAUAGUAGAUUAAUUGUGAUUAUUCUUGGUUCCUAUAGUUAUGAAGACCCAAAUCCAGAACAAGAAUUGAGGAUAAUAGACGGUUUUAACUAUCUAACUAGAUUUUGACCCGUGCAACCGCCCGAGUGUUUGUUUUUACUUUUCUAUACAUAAAUUAUUGUUUUAGAACAUAAGUGGUAUAUAUUUUUAAUCUUAAUCAUAUACUUAAUUAUUUAUAUAACUAUUUCAAAUACAAUAAUUUUAUAAUUUACAUGUUAUAAUUAAUUAAUUGUUUAAACCGUAUGUAUUUAC